ensembl:lncRNA
GCACAGGAAUCAGCUGGAGAACUCUUUCAACGCCAUUUGUGAGCAGCUGGAUAGAAGCAAAACAGAGAUCCUGGGAGCCAUCAGUGACAUUGAGAAGCAACAGCUUUCUCAGAUUGAGCCGUGGAUAAAAGAACACAAAGAGAUGAAGGAUGCUGCCAGCCGCAAUGUGCAGGAGUUGGAGGCUUUGAGGGAUCAGAAGGAUCCAGUGCUCUUUCUUAAGAGUUGGUCAGCAAUACAAACCAGGAAGAGGGAACAAGUUCCUAAUAAAGAUGGUGCAGAACUGGCAAAGCUGCUCAGUAUUAUGGAUGGAUCAAUGAAAAAGAUCAUUCAAGAGCGUUUCCAGCCUUAUGUCGACUUAAUCUUGGAUGCAAAGCCCUCAGUGAAAUCAUCACCUACUCAUGAACAUCUGACUUUCAAAUCAUGUCAAGCACAUGGACUGCAAGUAAAUGACAAGGUGCUCAGAGUAGUCAGGCUACCUUACGCAUUUCCUGUGCAAAUCGAACUGCCGUUCUGGGUGUACAGCACCAGCAGCUUCUCAAAUGGCCAGCACUUCUGGGAGGUGAUCACCCAUGACUCAUUGUGCUGGAAAGUGGGUGUUGCUGGUAACAGUUUUCAGUGCUACCUGGAAAUGUCUCAGCAUCGUCUCAGCGUGAUCCUAGAUAAAAGACAGAUUAAAGUCCAGUUACUUAACACAGCCAUCAGAACGGUCAGGGUAGAGCUAGACUGCGAAAGAAAGACAGUGUCAUUUUUUGAUGUGUCUGUCAAGGAUCAUUCAGGCUCUUCUGGGAGCUGUGUGCUCAUAGAUACAGUAACCAUCCCUUCAAGCUCUUCUGUCUAUGCUGUCUUCAGCGUUUCUCAUGGCUCCCUUUCACUCCCAUAGUGAUGUGGGGGCAAAGCUGCCUUGCCUUUCUGCUCCCUGGUUCUCUACAUUUUGGGGCUGCAGCUGCACAGACUUUGCCACCUUGGCACAGUAUAAACUAGGCUUCAGGCUGGGCCUGCUUGCAACCUGCUUCUGAGCUGUAAUAAGGUUCUGGUCUUUUGCAGCAAUGGGCUGCGUUGAGAGAAUGAGAAAAUGGGCCAUCAAAUACAUGUACCAUCAAAUGUACCUCCUCAGGUUUUUAGUAUUUCUGUUUCAGUAUUGUACUUUUACUGAACUGUAUAGAUUGCUGUGUUGGAUGGAUAUUAUUAAAGUAAUUUUGUUCACAAAACUUGGUGGUAAUCUAGUCUAUUACAAAGUAUAUGGCACAACGUUAAUGCUACAGCACUCAUAAGCAGCAGUGCCAAUCUCUGCUCUAGUGUACCAGCAUUUACCUCCCUGUCCUGCACAGCACUACCUUAGGUCUGUUCCUGCCCUGGGGUACCCUUCCCAGCAGGAUGGUGAUGCUUGGAGCAGCUGAGGAGAGCGCGGCUAAGCAGAGAACUCCUGGCUUGCUGCAGCCAGGCUCAGGCACAUCGCAUCCAGGGCUCUCUUGGGCAGAGGGCUGCAGGCGAACUGCCGAUGACACGCCUCAGAUGGGGAAGUACUUCGCUUCAGUCCAGAGAGCAGGGGGGCGGGGCUGCAGGGGGGCGGGGCUGCAGGGCUGGCACUGUGCCACGGACAGCCUUUCAGUUUCGUUUCUCGCAGGCCGGUGGGUG